rnacentral:rRNA from 1 species
AACGUAGGUGGCAAGCGUUAUCCGGAUUUACUGGGCGUAAAGGGUGCGUAGGCGGCUUCCUAAGUUUGAUGUGAAAUCCUGGGGCUCAACCCUGGAACUGCAUUGAAUACUGGGAGGCUAGAGUACUGGAGAGGAAACUGGAAUUUACGGUGUAGCAGUGAAAUGCGUAGAGAUCGUAAGGAAGACCAGCGGCGAAGGCGAGUUUCUGGACAGUUACUGACGCUGAGGCACGAAGGCCAGGGGAGCAAACGGG